UAGCGUAGGGGGGCAAGCGUUUGUCCGGGAUUUAUUGGGCGUAAAGAGCUCGUAGGCGGCUUGUCGCGUCGAAAUGUGAAAACUCGGGGCUCAACUCCGAGCUUGCAUUCGAUACGGGCAGGGCUAGAGUUCGGUAGGGGAGACUGGAAUUCCUGGUGUAGCGGUGAAAUGCGCAGAUAUCAGGAGGAACACCGGUGGCGAAGGCGGGUCUCUGGGCCGAUACUGACGCUGGAGGACGAAAGCGUGGGGAGCGAACAGG
rnacentral:rRNA from 1 species